AUUGAACGCUGGCGGCAGGCCUAACACAUGCAAGUCGAGCGGAUGAAGGGAGCUUGCUCCUGGAUUCAGCGGCGGACGGGUGAGUAAUGCCUAGGAAUCUGCCUGGUAGUGGGGGAUAACGUCCGGAAACGGGCGCUAAUACCGCAUACGUCCUGAGGGAGAAAGUGGGGGAUCUUCGGACCUCACGCUAUCAGAUGAGCCUAGGUCGGAUUAGCUAGUUGGUGGGGUAAAGGCCUACCAAGGCGACGAUCCGUAACUGGUCUGAGAGGAUGAUCAGUCACACUGGAACUGAGACACGGUCCAGACUCCUACGGGAGGCAGCAGUGGGGAAUACUGGACAAUGGGCGAAAGCCUGAUCCAGCCAUGCCGCGUGUGUGAAGAAGGUCUUCGGAUUGUAAAGCACUUUAAGUUGGGAGGAAGGGCAGUAAGUUAAUACCUUGCUGUUUUGACGUUACUAACAGAAUAAGCACCGGCUAACUUCGUG
rnacentral:rRNA from 1 species